CUGUGGAAAAGGUCCUCAAAAUAAUGAAGGAGAAUGCAAACAAAGCUUUGAGUAUUAUUCUCACUGCAAUUCCACAAAUUGCAUCCAUGGAUUGGUCUGAGAGCAUCAAGAGUUUGAGAAUCAGUCAGGAAGGUUCAGUUAUGUUGCCAAGGCAUUAAAACUUAAAGAGAUUGGAAGAUGUUUCAACUCCUGAAGACAAUUCACAUUACAGCUGAUACCAGUGAUUCCAGUGUGCUACUGUCACUGUAUGUGCAACAUAAUAAAAAUUCAAACAACUUC